UACGAAGGGUGAAAGCGUUAAUCGGAAUUACUGGGCGUAAAGCGUGCGCAGGCGGCUUUGCAAGACAGAUGUGAAAUCCCCGGGCUCAACCUGGGAACUGCAUUUGUGACUGCAAGGCUAGAGUACGGCAGAGGGGGAUGGAAUUCCGCGUGUAGCAGUGAAAUGCGUAGAUAUGCGGAGGAACACCAAUGGCGAAGGCAAUCCCCUGGGCCUGUACUGACGCUCAUGCACGAAAGCGUGGGGAGCAAACAGG
rnacentral:rRNA from 1 species